rnacentral:rRNA from 1 species
CCUACGGGAGGCAGCAGUGAGGAAUAUUGGUCAAUGGACGAGAGUCUGAACCAGCCAAGUAGCGUGAAGGAUGACUGCCCUAUGGGUUGUAAACUUCUUUUAUAAAGGAAUAAAACGAGGCACGUGUGCCUUUUUGCAUGUACUUUAUGAAUAAGGAUCGGCUAACUCCGUGCCAACAGCCGCGGUAAUACGGAGGAUCCGAGCGUUAUCCGGAUUUAUUGGGUUUAAAGGGUGCGUAGGCGGCCUUUUAAGUCAGCGGUGAAAGUCUGUGGCUCAACCAUAGAAUUGCCGUUGAAACUGGGAGGCUUGAGUGAGUGAGAAGUAUGCGGAAUGCGUGGUGUAGCGGUGAAAUGCAUAGAUAUCACGCAGAACUCCGAUUGCGAAGGCAGCAUACCGGCGCUCAACUGACGCUCAUGCACGAAAGUGUGGGUAUCGAACAGGAUUAGAUACCCGAGUAGUC